UACUAAAGAUUCAAUGUCUUUUUGAUGGA
rnacentral:sRNA from 1 species